AUAUUUGGUAAACGAAUGAUAACGCCUCGAUUGCUGAGAUUAAAAAAAAACCCUAAUUUGCUACGCCGGUGCGGGGUGGUCUGUAGGUGGCCCUCAGUUGUGCGACGGCGCUGGUGGUGGCGCACGGACUUCUGGAGGUACUCACGCUGUUGGGUCGAUGCGGUGGCGCUCGUUUGACAGUGGUGCGGUCCGCUCUGCAGUGUGGUAGCGUCGUUUGGUAUGGCCAGAGCACGACGGUGGAGCGCGGUGCUGCAACGCGAAUCGGUGUCGUUUUGCAGGCUACAAAUAACUAAUUCAUUUAGUUUAUAUUUUAAUAUCGACGAUUGUAAAUAAAAAUUAAACAGUUUUAAUUUUUAAAAAACUUAUUUGAAC
rnacentral:lncRNA from 1 species